UACGAAGGGGGCUAGCGUUGCUCGGAAUCACUGGGCGUAAAGCGCACGUAGGCGGACUCUUAAGUCGGUGGUGAAAUCCUGGAGCUCAACUCCAGAACUGCCUUCGAUACUGGCGAUCUUGAGUCCGGAAGAGGUGAGUGGAACUCCUAGUGUAGAGGUGGAAUUCGUAGAUAUUAGGAAGAACACCAGUGGCGAAGGCGGCUCACUGGUCCGGUACUGACGCUGAGGGUGCGAAAAGCGUGGGGGAGC
rnacentral:rRNA from 1 species